rnacentral:rRNA from 1 species
GACGAACCGUGCGAACGUUGUUCGGAAUCACUGGGCUUAAAGGGCGCGUAGGCGGGCCCCUUGUCCGGGGUGAAAGCUUUCGGCUUAACCGGAAAAGUGCCCCGGAAACGGGGGGCCUGGAGGGAGGUAGGGGCAGCCGGAACUCCGGUGGAGCGGUGAAAUGCGUUGAUAUCGGAAGGAACGCCGGUGGCGAAAGCGGGCUGCUGGACCUCUACUGACGCUGAGGCGCGAAAGCCAGGGGAGCGAACGGG